GAUGAACGCUGGCGGCGUGCCUAAUACGUGCAAGUCGAACGAGUUCUUCGGAACUAGUGGCGGACGGGUGAGUAACACGUUGGUACCUACCCCGAAGUGGGGAAUAACUGGCCGAAAGGUCGGCUAAUACCGCAUAAUACCGUAAGGUUAAAGCAGUAAUGCGCUUCGGGAGGGGCCUGCGUCUGAUUAGCUAGUUGGAAGUGUAAUGGACUACCAAGGCGACGAUCAGUAGCUGGAUCGAGAGGUUGACCAGCCACACUGGGACUGAGAUACGGCCCAGACUCCUACGGGAGGCAGCAGUAAGGAAUCUUCCACAAUGGACGAAAGUCUGAUGGAGCAACGCCGCGUGCAGGAUGACGGCCUUCGGGUUGUAAACUGCUUUUAUAUGGGAAGAUUAUGACGGUACCAUAUGAAUAAGGACCGGCUAACUACGUGCCAGCCGCCGCGGUAA
rnacentral:rRNA from 1 species